GAUGAACGCUGGCGGCGUGCCUAAUACAUGCAAGUCGAGCGAACAGACGAGGAGCUUGCUCCUCUGACGUUAGCGGCGGACGGGUGAGUAACACGUGGAUAACCUACCUAUAAGACUGGGAUAACUUCGGGAAACCGGAGCUAAUACCGGAUAAUAUAUUGAACCGCAUGGUUCAAUAGUGAAAGACGGUUUUGCUGUCACUUAUAGAUGGAUCCGCGCCGCAUUAGCUAGUUGGUAAGGUAACGGCUUACCAAGGCGACGAUGCGUAGCCGACCUGAGAGGGUGAUCGGCCACACUGGAACUGAGACACGGUCCAGGCUCCUACGGGAGGCAGCAGUAGGGAAUCUUCCGCAAAGGGCGAAAGCCUGACGGAGCAACGCCGCGUGAGUGAUGAAGGUCUUCGGAUCGUAAAACUCUGUUAUUAGGGAAGAACAAAUGUGUAAGUAACUAUGCACGUCUUGACGGUACCUAAUCAGAAAGCCACGGCUAACUACGUG
rnacentral:rRNA from 1 species